AGACAAACAGACAAAAAAAAGUUAAUUACAUUUUUGGGUUCGACAUCGACAUAACAAUAACCCCUGCUAUUUUUUUUAUUUUUAUUUUCAAUGUACAGACAGCACUUUUCUACGAUUUUAUUAUAUGUAUAGAUAUAGAUUUUAUUUUUUGAUUUUUGAAAUAAAAACUAUCCUAUGUCCUUUCUAAGGUUCUAAACUAUAUCUGUACCAAAUUUCAACCAAAUCCGUCAAAUAGUUGCGGAGAUUAAUGGUAUAAGCAUAGAAUGUUCGACGUGAUUCUUUAAUUUGACAUAACUUUUUUAUUUAUGAACCGAUUGACAUGAAACAAACACUAAAUGUAAAUUUAAGCAUCCCACAAUAUAUUCGUGAAAACCGCAUCCAACUCGGAUCAGCCGUUUCUGAGAUUAGCGCGCACAGACGAACAGACAAACAGACAAACAGACAAA